AUGGAAAAUAACCUGGAUUAUUUGUUUAUUUUUUUUAGGUGCAUUUCUUGAUCAGCCGCACUUCAAUCGUAUUCUAUCUGUCAGAUGUGCGUUUUGGUACCUGAAGACUUCAAAGUAUUGCAUUGCUUGUGCUGCUCCGAUGAUUUGCUCUACACCAGUUGAUCAGAUUCAGCAGAAUAUAUAAGGUUGUUUUGUUCGAGAAUAAAAUGCAUAAAAUAAAAGUAAAUUGAAAAUCAAA